rnacentral:rRNA from 1 species
AAUCCAUAGGUUAAUGAGGCGAACCGGGGGAACUGAAACAUCUAAGUACCCCGAGGAAAAGAAAUCAACCGAGAUUCCCCCAGUAGCGGCGAGCGAACGGGGAGGAGCCCAGAGCCUGAAUCAGCAUGUGUGUUAGUGGAAGCGUCUGGAAAGGCGCGCGAUACAGGGUGACAGCCCCGUACACAAAAGCGCAUGUGCUGUGAGCUCGAUGAGUAGGGCGGGACACGUGGUAUCCUGUCUGAAUAUGGGGGGACCAUCCUCCAAGGCUAAAUACUCCUGACUGACCGAUAGUGAACCAGUACCGUGAGGGAAAGGCGAAAAGAACCCCGGCGAGGGGAGUGAAAAAGAACCUGAAACCGUGUACGUACAAGCAGUGGGAGCACAGGUUUACCUGUGUGACUGCGUACCUUUUGUAUAAUGGGUCAGCGACUUAUAUUCUGUAGCAAGGUUAACCGAAUAGGGGAGCCGGAGGGAAACCGAGUCUUAAUUGGGCGUUAAGUUGCAGGGUAUAGACCCGAAACCCGGUGAUCUAGCCAUGGGCAGGUUGAAGGUUGGGUAACACUAACUGGAGGACCGAACCGACUAAUGUUGAAAAAUUAGCGGAUGACCUGUGGCUGGGGGUGAAAGGCCAAUCAAACCGGGAGAUAGCUGGUUCUCCCCGAAAGCUAUUUAGGUAGCGCCUCGUGAAUUCAUCUCCGGGGGUAG